rnacentral:rRNA from 1 species
UGCGGAGGGUGCGAGCGUUGUUCGGAAUUACUGGGCGUAAAGGGCUCGUAGGUGGCCAACUAAGUCAGACGUGAAAUCCCCAGGCUCAACUUGGGAACUGCGUCUGAUACUGGAUGGCUUGAAUUCGGGAGAGGGAUGCAGAAUUCCAGGUGUAGCGGUGAAAUGCGUAGAUAUCUGGAGGGAUACCGGUGGCGAAGGCGGCAUCCUGGACCGAGAUUGACACUGAUGAGCGAAAGCCAGGGGAGCAAACGGG